rnacentral:rRNA from 1 species
AUUGAACGCUGGCGGCAUGCUUUACACAUGCAAGUCGAACGGCAGCGCGGGCUUCGGCCUGGCGGCGAGUGGCGAACGGGUGAGUAAUGCAUCGGAACGUGCCCAGUAGUGGGGGAUAGCCCGGCGAAAGCCGGAUUAAUACCGCAUACGACCUGAGGGUGAAAGCGGGGGACCGAAAGGCCUCGCGCUAUUGGAGCGGCCGAUGUCGGAUUAGCUAGUUGGUGGGGUAAAGGCUUACCAAGGCGACGAUCCGUAGCUGGUCUGAGAGGACGACCAGCCACACUGGGACUGGGCCACGGCCCAGACUCCUACGGGAGGGAGCAGUGGGGAAUUUUGGACAAUGGGGGCAACCCUGAUCCAGCCAUGCCGCGUGCGGGAAGAAGGCCUUCGGGUUGUAAACCGCUUUUGUUCGGGAAGAAAUCCUCUGGGCUAAUACCCCGGGGGGAUGACGGUACCGGAAGAAUAAGCACCGGCUAACUACGUG